rnacentral:rRNA from 1 species
AUUGAACGCUGGCGGCAUGCUUUACACAUGCAAGUCGAACGGUAACAGGGAGCUUGCUCCGCUGACGAGUGGCGAACGGGUGAGUAAUGCAUCGGAACGUACCCAGUCGUGGGGGAUAACGUAGCGAAAGUUACGCUAAUACCGCAUACGUCCUGAGGGAGAAAGCGGGGGACCGUAAGGCCUCGCGCGAUUGGAGCGGCCGAUGUCGGAUUAGCUAGUUGGUAGGGUAAAGGCCUACCAAGGCGACGAUCCGUAGCGGGUCUGAGAGGAUGAUCCGCCACACUGGGACUGAGACACGGCCCAGACUCCUACGGGAGGCAGCAGUGGGGAAUUUUGGACAAUGGGCGAAAGCCUGAUCCAGCCAUGCCGCGUGAGUGAAGAAGGCCUUCGGGUUGUAAAGCUCUUUCAGGUGGAAAGAAAACGCAUAGGUUAAUACCUUGUGCGGAUGACGGUACCAUCAGAAGAAGCACCGGCUAACUACGUG